AUGGAUUUGCUCCGUCGUGCUGGUAUGCUUCAGUGUAAGCCUGCUACUACUCCUAUGUCAGCUUCUGAUCGUCUCUCUGCACUUGAUGGUACUCUUCUUCCUUCGGAUGAGGCUACCAAGUAUCGCAGUAUUGUUGGUGGCUUACAGUAUUUGACGAUCACUCAACCUGAUAUUUCCUAUGUGGUUAACAGUGUGUGCCAGUUCCUUCAUGCUCCUCGGGAUACUCACUGGACUGCUGUCAAACGCAUUCUGCGUUAUGUUUGUUUCACUGCUGCUCUGGGCUUGCAUCUUCGGUCUGCUCCUUCCGGUAGUCUCUCGGCCUUCUCUGAUGCUGAUUGGGCUGGUAGCCCGGAUGACAGGCGCUCUACGGGGGGAUAUGCAGUAUUCUAUGGUCCUAAUUUGAUCGCCUGGAGUGCUCGUAAACAAGCUACUGUGUCACGUAGUAGUACUGAAGCUGAAUACAAAGCAGUUGCCAAUGCUACUGCUGAAGUAAUUUGGGUUCAGUCCUUGCUUCGAGAGUUGAGAGUCUCUCAGAAUCAUCCACCUGUUCUUUGGUGUGACAACAUUGGUGCAACGUAUCUUUCUUCAAAUCCAGUUUUUCAUGCCCGAACGAAACACAUCGAAGUUGACUAUCAUUUUGUCAGAGAACGGGUUUCACAGAAGUUACUUCAGAUCAAGUUCAUUCCUUCGAAAGAUCAACUUGCUGAUAUCUUCACGAAGCCGUUGCCACUGCCUCAGUUUGAGGGUUGUCGUCGCAAUCUUAAUCUUCUGAAUUCUUCAGACCACGGUUAA
rnacentral:rRNA from 1 species